GUGUCAGCCGCCGCGGUAAUACGUAGGUGACCAGCGUUGUCCGGAUUUACUGGGCGUAAAGAGCGCGCAGGCGGUCGUUCAAGUCGAGUGUGAAAGCCCCCGGCUCAACUGGGGAGGGUCACUCGAUACUGAUCGACUUGAAGGCAGGAGAGGGAAGCGGAAUUCCCGGUGUAGUGGUGAAAUGCGUAGAUAUCGGGAGGAACACCAGUGGCGAAGGCGGCUUCCUGGCCUGUUCUUGACGCUGAGGCGCGAAAGCUAGGGGAGCAAACGGGAUUAGAAACCCUUGUAGUCC
rnacentral:rRNA from 1 species